rnacentral:lncRNA from 1 species
AAAAAAGAAUUUUCUUCUUGAUCCCGCUUACUAGAUUUCUGUUUGUUAAUGUCCUGUCUUGGAGGGAGGGAGAUAAGGAUAUCUGUCUUAACAAUGAAUCAAAUGAAAGUGAAAGAAAUCGAAUUUCACACCUUUUUCCUUUUCUGAAGGACCAAUCAUUCCCUGCAAAAAUCCUACUCUUCCUUAUUAUUUCUAUUUUUUGUAUUUAUUCCUUUUUUUAUUUAUAAAUCAAAAAAGAAAAUUCU